UGCGCAGGAUUUUCAAAAAUGUCUGGUGUCAUGAUGAAGACGAUCAUCAGCAGACUGUAAUCACUAUUGUCGUCUUGUUUUCUUUCUGUUCCACUUGCAUUGCACCUCCACCUCCACCUGUCCACAUCAUUUGAACAACAACAUAUGACAAAGAAAAAGGCUCAUUCUUCAGACUGGUUUGUUUUGCAUGUUGACUGCGUGUGACUGAGUACAGCUACAGUACAGUACAGUACCGUAUGGUCCCAGUCAGCUGCUUGCAUUUUGCUGUCAGACGCUAAAUCAAAAAGUUGCUGCCUUGGUGUUUAUCUGAGGGCAAGAUCCAGUCAGAGCCGGGGAGCUGGAGCAGGAGUUACAGAGCCGGGGAGCAGGAGUUGGAGUUAGCCUUAUCUGGCAUUGGGUCAGUAAUACAGAGCAAACAGCAGGGAGGGAGGGAGAGAGAGAGAGAGAGAGAGGGAGAGAGAGAGAGAGAGAGAGAGAGAGAGAGAGGAGGUGAACCACAUGUUGCUACGAUUUUUUUUCAGGCACUAAAUGUCUCCUCUAGUUUAGUGUGGCCAUAGUGGCGGCCAUAGUCAGGCUUGCUCUGCGCAUACUGUGUCCAUCUGUCCAUCUGCCCAAGUUUGUAUUUUUUUUAACCCAACAAACAAACGUGACUGAAGUCCGGUGAUAGGGUUAAUACUUAUGAAGUCGGGAGAUAGGGUUAAUACUUGCAGCUGCUUUUCAGCACCUACAGUAUGCAGAUUUGAAAACUGCAUCAGCUGCUUGCUUCACUGGAAGUCUUUCUCUUUCACUCUCUUUCUCUCUCUCUCUCUCUCUCUCUCUCUCUCUCUCUCUCUCUCUCUCUCUCUCUCUUUCUGUCUCGGAUUAUGAAGGUGUAGUGUGCUAGAAUGGCGUGAGAGAGAGCACUGAGUCUGCGCAGUAGCUGUAUGGAGGAGGGGAUUCUGUGUCACUCUUACCCCCCCGCCCUGCACUCCCCCCUCUCCUCUCCUCUCCUCUCCACUCCGUCUCCCUCCCUCUUUCUGGCCUCGCUGCUUUCCGCCCUCCCACCCUCUUUCUCUCUCUCGCGGUCUCUCCUGCUUUUUGCUCCCUCCCACUCCCUGUCUCUCUGUUCCUCUCUCUGUCGCUCACACACUCCCUCUCUCUCUCUCUCUCUCUUUCUCUCUCUCUCUCUCUCUCUCUCUCUCUCUCUCUCUCUCUCUCUCUCUCUCUCUCUCUCAAGUGCAAGGCCAUGUGGGACGCGUGAUGAGGAAGCGGAUCACUCCUAUUUUAUCAUUAGCCCUUCACACUCCUUCUCUCUUUCUCUUUCUCUUUCUCUCUCUUUCUCUCUCGCUCAUGCUGUUCUGCAUUACUGUUCGCGUACUCUUUUUCUCCCUCUUUACUCUCCUUCUUUUUCGUGCUCUCGCGUUCUCUCGUUCUCUAUCGUUCUCUCUCGUUCUCUCGUUCUCUUUUUUCUGGUUCCUCUACUCUGGUCUCCUGUUUUUUCCUCCCUCUCCUCUCCCUGCGAUCUCUCGUUCUCGUUCCCCUUCUCUCAGCCCCUCUCUGCCGCUCGCACGGGGGAGACUGGAGCUCGGCAGGAAAAAAAGCCAGCGAGUGAAAGAGGGGCAGAGCAGGAGAGAGAGAGCGAGAGAGAGAGAGAAAGAAAAAAACUCUGCAGCUAUUUCUACUGUGAGGGCCUCCCCCCCCCUUCCCUCCCCGCGCCCCCCCCCCCCUCAGCCCAGCCAGAGAGGGAGGGCUCCUUUACUACUGACUGGAUUUAACCCUCUGUCUGCAGCCGCUACAUAGCAGCGCCGGCCGCCACCACAAACCCGCUAACAAGUUGCUUUUUGUGGGGCAUUUUUCGUAUCAUUUCGCGCGCCAAGAUGCGACGGUUGGGAUUUUUUUUUUCACGGCUUAUUUUUUUGCCCAUCACCUCCGAUGCAGGUUGUCAGCAGCACUGCGGCAUGUUUUUUGCACGUUUCGCGUUGCGUAAACGAUUACUUUUUUUUUCGCUUGAAUCCCCUAUUUCAAACGCAGGAUCCUUGGCCGUUCCUUUCCUAAUUUUAUUGUUGUUUUGUUGUUGUUGCUGCUGUUGUCGUCGUCGUUGUUUUUUUAUUAUUAUUUUUGGCUGAUGGGAAGCGGUUGCUGUGUGGUGGUUUUCCACGGCGGGUUGCGGGUUGCGUGAGGGCAUUCUGAGCUGCUUUGGCCACCUGGACCCUAGCGUGCCCCCGUCCCCGGCCUCCCCUCCCGGCCUCCCCUCCCGGCCCGGCUCCUGAAGGCUAAUGCUGGGCAGCAGCUCUCUCUCUCCCCGCGACUUGCCUUGCGCCUCCCCUCCCCUCCUCUCUCCUCCUCCUCCUCUCCUUUUGUUUCUGUCCGCCAAGGAUGGGAAGAGUUUGCUUGCUCUCGGACCAGAGCGAGCGCACAUCUGCGAGUUAAAAGACGUGCCUUUUGUGAGUGCUAGCAACACGUUUUGAAGUGUUGUGCUUCCCUCCUCCUCUGCUUGCUGUCUUUCCGUGUGUGUGUAUGUGUGUGUGUGCGUGUGUGUGUGUGUGAGUGUGUGUGCGUGCUCCCUCCCUCUCGCUCUCCCUCUCUCGGGCACUCUCUCGCUCUCUUUCUAGCUCUCUUGCUCUCUCUCUCUCUGGCUCUCUCGCUCUCUUUCUAGCUCUCUUGCUUUCUUUCUCACUUUGCUCUGAGACACCGCUUUGGUGUGCUGAAGCUUUUUCUGGGACAGGUGCCAACUCUGCACAAAAGACAGAAAAAAGGGGAAAAGGGGGGCAAAGCAGAGCAGAGGAAAGUUAGGGGUAGAUAGCGGCGCGCACAGAAUGAGUUAAGAGGGGUUUCACGGACUUAUGUGAGCAUGUGCGUUUUAUGUGAGCCAGUAUGCGUGUGAGUGUGUCUACAUAUUGACUGUGUGUGUGUGUGUGUGUGUGUGUGUGUGUGUGUGUGUGUGUGUGUGUGUGUGUGUGUGUGUGUGUGUGUGUGUGUGUACGCUUCUUCGGUGUCGCUAGCCUGCAACAUGUUCAGCACUGUGGCCCUGUGAGAGAGGAGAGGAGAGGAGAGGAGAGAAGGGUAAAAGAAGAGCAGAGAGGGGUAAAAGUAGCGCCCAUAAGUGGAGACAUGGGAGCACCAAGGACAGACCAGACCGUGAGCUGCUGAGAGCGGCGCAGACACGGGAGAGGAGCUCGGAGCGCCAGACGGGCCUUCCCCGAUUUCACCUCGAAGCGGAGCGCCGGACUUUUAGGAGCCUUCCGCUGCAUUCUUUUUAAAAUGGAGAGUGACGGCAAAUCACGAAGACCCGAGCGUUCCAAGAUACCACGUGAGAGGACAAAAGGGGACGCACAGGCAAAGAUGGCGGACACACCUUCACAAUCAGAUUCAGCAUGGCAACACGGGUGCGUCAGCACGCCAAGAAGAGCAUUAGAGGGGGGGCAGAGAGGACAGAGAGGACAGACCAGGACGAAAGGAAAGGAGGGCGAUCUGUGAGCAUUUAGUCUCCCCUGGACUGCAGGAGCAAGAGAGUGAGCGAGAGAACAGAGUUUGAACAAGUCUGUCUUCACCCAGGAAGAAAGAUCGGAAUGAUUGUGCAAAGCAGCAUGGGAUUUCCUGGGCACCUGGGGCUGUCUGUGUACAGUACUGUAGACCUACUGUAUGUGUUGAGCAGUACAUCAGGUAGGCCACUUUAUAUCCAAAGUGUUACACUCCUCACAGUGCUCAUCACUUCACAUGACUCUCUUUCAUUACUCUUUUGUUCUUAACUUCUUAUGUAAAAAACCUGCUGUUGCUUGUACACCUUGGAAUGAAUAAAACAAUUGAUUUUUUUCUCA